rnacentral:rRNA from 1 species
GACGAACGCUGGCGGCGUGCUUAACACAUGCAAGUCGAACGGAAAGGCCCUGCUUUUGUGGGGUGCUCGAGUGGCGAACGGGUGAGUAACACGUGAGUAACCUGCCCUUGACUUUGGGAUAACUUCAGGAAACUGGGGCUAAUACCGGAUAGGAGCUCCUGCUGCAUGGUGGGGGUUGGAAAGUUUCGGCGGUUGGGGAUGGACUCGCGGCUUAUCAGCUUGUUGGUGGGGUAGUGGCUUACCAAGGCUUUGACGGGUAGCCGGCCUGAGAGGGUGACCGGCGCCACGGGAGGUGCACCGCCAUCCAGGGUCCUAGGGGAGGCCCCAGUCGGGACUGGGGGCCAAUGGGGGGAAUUCUGAACAAGGGGGGGCACGUGGGUGCAGACAGCCCCGGGGGGGGAAGGCCGUUUUGUGGGUAAAAACCAGCUUCCGCUUGAGACGACGCUGGGGUGACGGUACGGGAAAAAAAAGCACCGGCUAACUACGUG